CCUACGGGACGCUGCAGUGAGGAAUAUUGGUCAAUGGCCGGAAGGCUGAACCAGCCAUGCCGCGUGAAGGUCAGUGCCCUAUGGGCGUUAAACUUCUUUUGUGCGGGAGCAAUAAUGGUCACGUGUGGCCAGACGAGAGUACCGUACGAAUAAGCAUCGGCUAACUCCGUGCCAGCAGCCGCGGUAAUACGGGGGAUGCAAGCGUUAUCCGGAUUUAUUGGGUUUAAAGGGUGCGUAGGCUGUGAGGUAAGUCAGCGGUGAAAUGCCCCCGCUCAACGGGGUGAAGUGCCAUUGAUACUGCCUGGCUGGAAUGCGGAUGCCGUGGGAGGAAUGUGUGGUGUAGCGGUGAAAUGCAUAGAUAUCACACAGAACACCGAUUGCGAAGGCAUCUCACGAAUCCGCGAUUGACGCUGAUGCACGAAAGCGUGGGUAUCAAACAGGAUUAGAUACCCGAGUAGUC
rnacentral:rRNA from 1 species